rnacentral:ncRNA from 1 species
UAUGGUAGAGGUCGCGUGAGUUAAGAGUAUUCUGCAGGAUGUGGCAGGCACAGGAGAAUGCAGGAGAAAGGGAUGAACGCCGAAGAGGACAGACGCUGCAAUCUGUUUUCUGGGCAUGAGGUUAAGAGCCGCAUGACUGUCAACUGUAACUGUGUUACGCGGUUACCUAGUGAGUUGGAGAGCUAUCA